CCCCCAGAGAGGAGAAAAGCGUGUCGAAAGGGGAACCCAAGUCCCGCACGCCGCACGCCGAACUCGUCGCCGGAAUCGUCGUUCCAGCAGCCCAGCCCGCCGACAGAGGGAGCGUAGGGAGUAGGCGACGAGGGAUCGUCGGAGAUGGUGCGGGUGCGUGGGCAGGCGAACGUGGCGGCGGCGGAGAACCGGGGCCGCUUCCUCCGCCUCGCCGAGCCGGGCAUCAACUUCUUCAACCGCCGCGCCGGCGAGCUCGUCGCCGGGACCCUCUCCAGUCUCCACCCGCGUCCAGUCGCUCGAGAUCAAGACCAAGGAUAAUGUCUUUGUUCAGCUGAUCUGUACAAUUCAAUACCGGGUUGUUAAGGAGAAUGCAGAUGAUGCAUUCUACAAGUUGCAGAAUCCCCCAACAGCAAAUUCAGUCCUACGUCUUUGAUGUGGUCUGAGCCAUAGUUCCAAGAAUGGAGCUGGACAGUCUUUUUGAGCAGAAAAUUUUGUUGCAAAGGCUGUACUUGAGGAGCUUGAAAAGAAUGCAGUCUAAAUGAGACUCAACCUCUUAAACCAGCUCAAGUGCUCUAUUCAACUCAAAACAAAGUACAAGAGACAUUUGGAGGUGGCUUUUAUGGACGCGUACUACCACAAUGUGCAUUUGGAGUACUUGUUGAAAGCCAAUUGAAUUUGGGUGCUUUUGUGAUGAUUCACCUCAUGUGUGUCCUAAAAGUAUUUGCAAAAAGAGAAGAGAACAAAGAUACUGUUUUUUUCCGGGUUGCUCUUUGCCUCGAGCGCAAUCUGGAUUGAAGCAGCUUGAAGCAUGUUUGAGUUUGAAGGAAGCUGAUAUCUGUCCUGCCAAGUGGUUCAGUACAGUAAAGAUGAGAAACCCAUGAGUUCUCCAUUGACACGGCUGCUGCAUUUGUGAUAAACUUUUAAAAGGUGGAAAAGCAAGCUGAAGGUAUGUGCACUCCUCAUGGCUGUUCUUGUCUCUUUUUUUUCUUAACGUUAUUGUCUCAAGUUGUUUGCCUGUUGGAUAGUGGAAUUUCACAAUUUAUGUCACAGUUAGAACACUUGGAGAGGGAUUUGUAACUGAAUGUUAGACUCAACAGUAGAUAAACGAGUUAACUGACCACUGCAGUAUCGAUUAUCAUGCAUGUUUUAUGAGCUUUUGAGAAGGGUGACAGAUAUCAUUUGUACGAUCCAAAGCUAAAUAAUUUUGUUCUCUUUGUCUAGCUUCGUACUUUGGUGAUGUACCUGCUUACAGCCAAGGACCUCUUCAGAGUAUUACCUAAGUAGACCAUGUUGAUGCACUUUGAGUGAAACAACGAGUCAUCAGAGUUAUGAUGUAAUUCUGUGAACACCCUUUUUAUGUGAGAAAUGCAUCGUCUCAAUUUUUAAGUUUAAACCUCAUAUGGGAGGAUAGUUGUGAUUCCAAAUGUUCUGAUUUUCGUCAUGAGAAAUGGCACGGGCUGAAUUUGGCCACUGUUUUGAGGAAGGAGGUCAACAGUGUUCCCAUAGUCUUUAUGAUUCAGCAUUAGCUUUACACCUUUGUCAUUUAACUGUCGAAGGUAAAACUAUGAUGGAAAUUAUUUCGAGUGUACUGGGUUUAUGUUUCUUUCCUUGCCAAGACACUGCAUAAGUGCGAUGACGUAUAUGAUCUGGAGAAAUGGUUCUGAUACUCCUAGAGAGGCUAUAGUGUAUUGUACUGUUUGUUCAAUAGAAAAUAUGGAUUCAUGUGUAGAUCAUUUGUUAGAUACUGGAUAUUUUCCAUUUUAGGGUCUUGUUUAAGUCUUAAGUUUUCAUCGAUCUGAAAUGGUAGAUUGGCUGGCAGUGGAACCCAUGGGAGUUUCCACCUUAUUUAGCUCUUUCUGUGUAUUGCGCUUGGUCCCCCAUCCUCCUGUUCUCACACCAUUUGUUUUUCUGCGGUUUGCUAAGAUACGUAAGGUUGCCGCUGAUCGAUUUGGCUUGGGGUGGGUGUCGGCUUGUACAAAUCUAUGUGCAUGCGUAAUUGCAGCCUACGCUGAUGACCGAUGCAAAUUUGAUGGAAGGUGGUGCUCUCUGGUGAUGAAGGAUUGCAUAUUCUUUUGGCUCCUGCGCCGAGGCUCAUCUCUGCUACGGAAGGAGGCUGCGAGAGGAUUGGGAAGCGUGGGAAACUGAAAACCGGUGCAUUAAACUGGCCUCGGAUGCAUAGUGUCUGAACCCCAGUCACUUUUGUUGAUCAUAUAGCGAAGAGACACCAACGGUGCAGGACAUGAAGAAGCAGGAGAGGAAGUCGCGCAGAAACAGUUACCGCAAGAAAAGCCUCUGUGAUGUUCUCCACGUAGCGAUGUUGGAUGUAACUGAGAAUUCUGUUUUGCUUGCUAGUUAGUGGGUGCGAGCUUCAGUUAUGUGUGGUUUGCAUAUUCAGUUGUUGAACCGAUCAAAAGAAAUAUCUCAGAAACAUUCAGCUGUUCUGCGUGGGCUGUGCCGCUGAGAUAUCUCCUUUUCAGUUUUGUUGAAUAGAUAUACGUAUGUCGUCGUACAUUUUAAUGAGCCAGUAAUACGAGCAGGAUAUGCUUGUUUUGGAAACAGAGCACCAUGUAUCCUCAACUGCACAUAUACCAUCAGGCAGACUGGAUGAGAUUCUUAGGAUGUUGAAUAUAGAUAAAGCCUUUGGUUGCAUGUGUUUUUUUUAAUCUAUUCUCUUUGUUUUUUUGA